rnacentral:rRNA from 1 species
AUUGAACGCUGGCGGCAGGCCUAACACAUGCAAGUCGAGCGGUAGCACAGAGAGCUUGCUCUCGGGUGACGAGCGGCGGACGGGUGAGUAAUGUCUGGGAAACUGCCUGAUGGAGGGGGAUAACUACUGGAAACGGUAGCUAAUACCGCAUAACGUCGCAAGACCAACGUGGGGGACCUGCGGGCCACAUGCCAUCAGAUGUGCCCAGAUGGGAUUAGCUGGUAGGUGGGGUAACGGCUCACCUAGGCGACGAUCCCUAGCUGGGCUGAGAGGAUGACCAGCCACACUGGAACUGAGACACGGUCCAGACUCCUACGGGAGGCAGCAGUGGGGAAUAUUGCACAAUGGGCGCAAGCCUGAUGCAGCCAUGCCGCGUGUGUGAAGAAGGCCUUCGGGUUGUAAAGCACUUUCAGCGGGGAGGAAGGCGGUGAGGUUAAUAACCUCAUCGAUUGACGUUACCCGCAGAAGAAGCACCGGCUAACUCCGUGCCAGCCGCCGCCGUAA